UACAGAGGGGGCAAGCGUUAUUCGGAAUUAUUGGGCGUAAAGGGCGCGUAGGCGGCUUGGCAAGUGGAUGGUGAAAUCCCUCGGCUUAACCGAGGAACUGCCGUCCAAACUGCUUAGCUUGAGACCGGGAGAGGUGAGUGGAAUUCCCAGUGUAGCGGUGAAAUGCGUAGAUAUUGGGAGGAACACCAGUGGCGAAGGCGGCUCACUGGACCGGUACUGACGCUGAGGCGCGAAAGCGUGGGGAGCGAACGGG
rnacentral:rRNA from 1 species